rnacentral:misc_RNA from 1 species
UUUUUUUUUUGUUUCUACUAUGAAUAUGUGAAUAUGUCUAUGAUAUGAAAUACUUUAUUAUUUCCAAGAGGGAGAAAGAAAAGGAUGGGCGAAAUUGAAGUUAGCUGCCUAAUCAGGUUUAAAUUAGAAUCAAGGUUCAAACUUUAUGUUAUUGAGCCAACUGCUUCAAAUAUUUUUACCCUAAGCGUAUGUAAUUGUUUUCUCAACUCUUUGCUCAUGAUGUCAGGAGAUAUGGUCAUGUG